UGCUGUCUUCAGCAGCAAAUAAACUAAAAAGAAACAAAACAGAGAUUAGCAUGGCCUUUGUGUAAGAAUGACAUGCAGAUCAGUGAAGAAUUCUAUAAUUUU